UAGCCCAAAUCUGAUCACAACCAGCUAUCGCUCGCUGUUGCCUCUCCAGAAAGUUUAAUCCUCAAAUCCAUUCGGCGGAAUCAAAAUCCCUAACCCUAAUUCCCUAGUCGACAUCGUCGCUGGCAUGACACCUCUGUCGAGUUAGUCAAGAAAAGAACUCGAAGCAGAGGAUAUGACCAUUGGAGGCCUGCGCUAAAGGGUGUUUGGGUUGUUCUACAUUACGGUUCAAAGCACAAGUCGCUCGGUUCAAGGCAGUGUUAAUCUUCUUUAUGCAGUCAUUCUCAUAAUAAUGCGUAGCUGUGGAAAUGGCUUCAUGUGUGAUGGGAGUCUGAGCGAUUCUAAAGCGUGCCCGGUUCAAACUAUUUGGGCUGGCUCUAUUAGCCUAGGCACUGGAGCAGAUCAAGUUAAAUUUGCAGCAGCCAAGAACCAUUCUACCGUGCAAGAGUCAUGGGACAUAGCAGAUGUGCUAAUCAUUUAUUGUCAUAUUUCCUUACCAAAAACAUGAGAGAGAGUGAGAUAUAUGAGAUCAUGCUAUUGUUUUGUUUCAUGUGUGCGAUAUUUUCAUUAAAAAAAUACACUAGGAAAUAACUUGAGAGAAACUUGUAACAAUAUUUGGAUUUAAAUGACAUUCCCAAUUUA